AGAGAGAGAGAGAGAGAGCAAAAAAGGAGUCGAUAAUAGAUACUGUUUCAUGUAAGCGGAGAUAUUUGACACCAACUUGAUACUUAUUAACCAAAGCGUAUGCACUUUAUCUGACACUGCCUUGUCUUUGUUUUCACACAAGCAAAAUCUUCAAGUGUGCUGUGUUAUCUUUUAAGCGUAUGAUUUUAGAGUAACAUCUUUUGCUGCAACAUUGAAAGAUAUUGGAUGCAUAUUCUGAUUUACCAAAAAUGAACCAAAGGAUUUUUGUGUACGCCUCUUGACACUAACAGCUGUGUCUAAAAUUCAGAAGUCAAAUAAAUAGAUUUGGUUGGGCUUGUUUCUUUGUUGUUUGAAUGUCAUGGUUGUUGUUAUUCAUCUAUGACUGUGAUAGUGUAUAUAUUGCUGUUUAUUUGGCAUGUUUGAUUGUUAUUGACAAUUCAGGGUUUACCUAAGCGUUCAAUCUUUUUAUUUUUUUUCCCCUUAGAACUUUUGUGUCCUUUUGUGCAGUUUGCAUUGCCCCAUAUCAUGGGU
rnacentral:misc_RNA from 1 species